UCCGCCAGCUGAUCCGAGACGGGAGCCGGCGCGCGCGGCGCGGGGGGAGGCGGCGGCAUCGGGCCGGGCCGGGUCAGGCCGGGCCGGGCCGGGCCGCGUCGCGCCGCAGCGGGGCUGCUCCGCUCCGCGCCGCGCAGGUGCUGCCCUGCCGCCCCGCUCCUGGCUAACCAGCACCAGUUCUUCAGUGGCAAGCUUUAUGUUCUUCUCUAGUAGCUAAAGCUGCCAGUUGAAGAACUGUUGAAUGUAGCCACUCGCUUCUCAUCACCGCAAUCUUGGAUGUCAGAGCCGGACCUGUGCCCUGAGCAACCGGCAGGAGCCCGGACUGCAGCAUCCUGUGGAUUUGAGGGCUGAGGAUGAGCCCGACCGGGAUGAAGAAGUCUCCUCGCAGCCUCCGAACAGAGCCUUGGCUGGAGGAUUGCCAGGCAGCCCUGCCAGCUGCGGGGCUGUUGAGCAGGGCCCCCCCCCCCCCCCUGCCCCUGCCAGUGGGGUGGCACUGAGCUGAGAGACAACUAGAGAAGAACAAAAGAGGCAUUAAACUUUCUGUUUUGCUCAACA